UGCACUGUCUCAAUGCUCUUUCCGUUGGAGGCCAAGCCCUCUGACUGUGGGGUAGGAGAGGCCCGUGACCAUCGCCUGACCCCCACUUCCAGCACAAGCCCAAGGGGCAGGAAAAAUUUUCGAAAGGCAACACUGUGCAACAAGGAAGGGACUUCCUCAGGAGAAAAUGUGCUCCCUGUCAGCAAAAGGAGGCAAGUGGAGGCUGGAGGCCCUGGAACUGGGUCCAACAAGCCUGAGGACCUGAAGCCAUAAGAUGGAGAAGAGGGACCCUCCCACUGGCCGCCCCGACCCGGGCCGCCUCCUUGCACUGAGACAAGACACCUUGCCACAGCCACCAUCUUGCAGCAGCCCCCGAGGCGGGAGUCACCCCCCGCCUUCCGCAGGUGGAGACUCCGUGGGGGCGGCUGCCCACCCCUGCGGAGGCCCAGGGGCUUGGGGAGGAGGCUCAGGUCGGUCACGGCAGCCCAGCCAGCCUGUCUGUGAUUGAGGAGGUUGUGCUCAGGUGCUCAAACAUCCCCCAGUUCCUCCAUCUCACUCUGUCCCCGUGUCUGCAGAGCCGUGGAACAGACCCCGCGUGCCGUGCACUCACCUGUAACCACCGAGCUGGGUCUGGGGCCUUCGGGCCACAGCAGGAAGAGGAAACCGAGGCACAGAGAGGUGAAGUGAUUUGCCUGAGGCCCCGAGGCUGGGAGGACAUAGAGCCACAGGGGAAGCACAGGACACAGGCCCUGCCUGGCGGCUGCGCGCCCCAAGACCCGGGGAUGCCGCCCGUCACUGCUGUCACGACCAGGUACAAGGGGAGGCCAAUUUCCAUGGCGCUUUGUUAAAACAAACUCAGUAUAAAUAGUUCUGCCCAAAGAUGUAGAGUAUGACCCACUGGCUACCCCCUUAAUGCUCAGUGGUCGGGGAUUGUCACAGGCCUGUGACAGAGUAUGACACAGCCGUUAAAAAUGAUGUUUAUGGGGGCGCCUGGGGGGCUCAGUCACUUGAGCGUCUGGCUCAGGUCAUGAUCUCAGGGUU